GGCAAUAUGGCCGAGUGGUCUAAGGCGCCAGAAUCAGGAGGGGGAUAUGAACCCACCGAGUUGUGGUAUCUGGUCCGUUUGGGCGAGGGUUCGAAUCCCUCUGUUGUCA